rnacentral:rRNA from 1 species
UCUUGGUCAUUUAGAGGAAGUAAAAGUCGUAACAAGGUUUCCGUAGGUGAACCUGCGGAAGGAUCAUUAAAGAAAUUUAAUAAUUUUGAAAAUGGAUUUUUUUGUUUUGGCAAGAGCAUGAGAGCUUUUACUGGGCAAGAAGACAAGAGAUGGAGAGUCCAGCCGGGCCUGCGCUUAAGUGCGCGGUCUUGCUAGGCUUGUAAGUUUCUUUCUUGCUAUUCCAAACGGUGAGAGAUUUCUGUGCUUUUGUUAUAGGACAAUUAAAACCGUUUCAAUACAACACACUGUGGAGUUUUCAUAUCUUUGCAACUUUUUCUUUGAGCAUUCGAGCAAUCGGGGCCCAGAGGUAACAAACACAAACAAUUUUAUCUAUUCAUUAAAUUUUUGUCAAAAACAAGAAUUUUCGUAACUGGAAAUUUUAAAAUAUUAAAAACUUUCAACAACGGAUCUCUUGGUUCUCGCAUCGAUGAAGAACGCAGCGAAAUGCGAUACGUAAUGUGAAUUGCAGAAUUCCGUGAAUCAUAGAAUCUUUGAACGCACAUUGCGCCCCUUGGUAUUCCAGGGGGCAUGCCUGUUUGAGCGUCAUUUCCUUCUCAAACAUUCUGUUUGGUAGUGAGUGAUACUCUUUGGAGUUAACUUGAAAUUGCUGGCCUUUUCAUUGGAUGUUUUUUUCCAAAGAGAGGUUUCUCUGCGUGCUUGAGGUAUAAUGCAAGUACGGUCGUUUUAGGUUUUACCAACUGCGGCUAAUCUUUUUUUAUACUGAGCGUAUUGGAACGUUAUCGAUAAGAAGAGAGCGUCUAGGCGAACAAUGUUCUUAAAGUUUGACCUCAAAUCAGGUAGGAGUACCCGCUGAACUUAAGCAUAUCAAUAAGCGGAG